rnacentral:rRNA from 1 species
GACGAACGCUGGCGGCGUGCCUAACACAUGCAAGUCGAGCGGAGUUAGUUUGUAGCUUGCUACAAACUAACUUAGCGGCGGACGGGUGAGUAACGCGUGGAUAACCUGCCUUUUACAGGGGGAGAACACAGGGAAACUUGUGCUAAUACCGCAUAACAUAUAGAAGUGGCAUCGCUUUUAUAUCAAAGGAGCAAUUCGGUAGAAGAUGGAUCCGCGUCCGAUUAGCUAGUUGGCGGGGUAAAGGCCCACCAAGGCGACGAUCGGUAGCCGAACUGAGAGGUUGAUCGGCCACAUUGGGACUGAGACACGGCCCAGACUCCUACGGGAGGCAGCAGUGGGGAAUAUUGCGCAAUGGGGGAAACCCUGACGCAGCAACGCCGCGUGAAGGAUGAAGGCUUUCGGGUUGUAAACUUCUUUAGUCGGGGACGAAAAAAUGACGGUACCCGAAGAAUAAGCCACGGCUAACUACGUGCCAGCCGCCGCGGUAA